rnacentral:misc_RNA from 1 species
UGGAGAUGCCGGUUAUCGACUUCAGUAAGCUAGAAGGUGAGGAAAGAUGUGCAACCAUGUCACUUCUCCAUCAGGCUUGUGAGAAAUGGGGCUUUUUUAUGAUAGAGAAUCAUGGAAUUGACAGUUACUUGAUGGACAAUGUGAAGCAGUUCGUGAAUCAACACUACGAAGCCAACAUGAAGAAGCGAUUCUAUGAAUCAGAGCUACCUAUGAGCUUAGAAAAGAAUGGAAACAUCAGCAACACAGACUGGGAAAGCACAUUCUUUGUUUGGCAUCGUCCAGCUUCCAAUAUCUAUGAGAUUCAAGGUCUCUCGAAGGAACUUUGCAAAGCAGUAGAUGACUAUAUUGAUCAGCUGAUCAAACUUGCAGAAAAUCUUUCAGAACUAAUGUGUGAGAACCUUGGCCUAGCGAAGAGUUACAUCAAAGAAGCAUUUUCA